rnacentral:rRNA from 1 species
AUUGAACGCUGGCGGCAGGCCUAACACAUGCAAGUCGAGCGGAUGAAGGGAGCUUGCUCCUGGAUUCAGCGGCGGACGGGUGAGUAAUGCCUAGGAAUCUGCCUGGUAGUGGGGGAUAACGUCCGGAAACGGGCGCUAAUACCGCAUACGUCCUGAGGGAGAAAGUGGGGGAUCUUCGGACCUCACGCUAUCAGAUGAGCCUAGGUCGGAUUAGCUAGUUGGUGGGGUAAAGGCCUACCAAGGCGACGAUCCGUAACUGGUCUGAGAGGAUGAUCAGUCACGCUGGAACUGAGACACGGUCCAGACUCCUACGGGAGGCAGCAGUGGGGAAUAUUGGACAAUGGGCGAAAGCCUGAUCCAGCCAUGCCGCGUGUGUGAAGGAGGUCUUCGGAUUGUAAAGCACUUUAAGUUGGGAGGAAGGGCAGUAAGUUAAUACCUUGCUGUUUUGACGUUACCAACAGAAUAAGCACCGGCUAACUUCGUG